UAAGCCCAUGUGCCACAACUACUGAGCCUGUGAGCCACAACUACUGAAACCCGCACACCUAAAGCCCGUGCUCCACAACAAGAGAAGCCACCACAGUGAGAAGCCCGUGCACCGCGAUGAAGAGUAGCCCCUGCUCGCCGCAACUAGAGAGAGCCCGCGUGCAGCAACGAAGACCCAACACAGCCAUAAAUAAAUAAAUUAAUUAAAUACAGUUUAAAAAUAAAUAAAUAAAAUAAAAUAGCUGGGCCAUGAAUCAGUCGUGAUUCAUUUCAAAGAUUUAAAUGAUGUAAGGAGAGCCUUAACCCAAAGGCUCCUCAUUCUCUAAAGGUUGAAACUUGUACCUAACUCCUGUUUUCCGAUUCUUUCUCUGUUAGUCACCAGGAGUCUUCUGUGCCCUAUGACAGGGCAGGUUAAGUACAAAAUCAGCAUUUGCUCCCAAUGAAGCAAGUAGCCAUGCUUUGUCUCGAAAAGCUGCCAAAUGAAAGAUGAUGAGAUUAUCUGGUCUACGUUAUGAUUAUACUUGAGAGCGAAUGGGGGCCAUCGUUUCACUAUGAGCACAGGGAGGGAGGUCCGCAGAGACAAAUGUGAUGAACACAGGAGGCCACAGAGUCCCCAAAGGCGUCUUUUAUAAGCAUUGUGGUCUUGGGUCAGUUGCUCCAGGCGAAUCCUGCUGCCGUGUUGUGAGGACACUGGAGCAGCCAAGGGAAGAACCGAGGCCAAGAGAGCUCUACGGCGAAUGGACAAGUCUGUAAGCAGUUCCACCACACCAAAUGCAAAUCUCUUGAAAAGCGGUACAAAUAGGCUUGACUUCUGAGCUUUCAGCUGUCCACCUCAUCUCUGUGAGCGGAUUUUCUUCUUGGCA